rnacentral:rRNA from 1 species
UACGGGGGGAGCAAGCGUUGUUCGGAUUUACUGGGCGUAAAGGGCGCGUAGGCGGUCAGCACAAGUCAGUUGUGAAAUCUCCGGGCUUAACUCGGAAAGGUCAACUGAUACUGUGCGACUAGAGUGCAGAAGGGGCAACUGGAAUUCUCGGUGUAGCGGUGAAAUGCGUAGAUAUCGAGAGGAACACCUGCGGCGAAGGCGGGUGCUGGGCUGACACUGACGCUGAGGAGCGAAGGCGUGGGGAGCAAACAGG